rnacentral:piRNA from 1 species
UCAGGUUGCUGGAAUGAGAGGCUGAGGU